UGACUGCGGAGGAUCAUUAGUGAUUACGAACGGUUGCCUUCUGUGCUGGCCAGAAACUGGCAAGUGCACGUCGGUGGCUUUCAUCCAAUACCCUGUGAACCUCUGGCCUCUUGCUAGCUUCGGCCGGCAGAGGAAUUUUACACACACUCGAAUGUAAUGAA
rnacentral:misc_RNA from 1 species